rnacentral:rRNA from 1 species
AUACGGAGGACGCGAGCGUUAUCCGGAUUCAUUGGGUUUAAAGGGUGCGCAGGCGGCCGUGCAAGUCAGCGGUGAAAGCCCGGGGCUCAACCCCGGAAGUGCCGUUGAUACUGCAUGGCUGGAAUGCGGUCGAGGCGGGCGGGAAGGGGCGGGUAGCGGGGAAAUGGGUAGAUAAGCCACAGAAAGCCGAUAGCGGAGGCAGCUCGCCAGGCCUGCAUUGACGCUCGGGCACGAAAGCGUGGGGAUCGAACAGGAUUAGAUACCCUGGUAGUCCACGCCGUAAACGAUGGGCGCUCGUCGUCGGCGGCAGACAGUCGGCGGCCAAGCGAAAGCGAUAAGCGCCCCACCUGGGGAGUACGGUCGCAAGGCUGAAACUCAAAUGAAUUGACGGGG